rnacentral:tRNA from 1 species
GUCUUUGUAGUAUAAUCAUUA